rnacentral:miRNA from 14 species
UGUAUAUAUGUGUGUAUGUGCAUAUAUAUGUGUAUGCAUAUAUAGUCAUAUACUAUAUA